AUACUGAUUAUGAAACACACUGAGAAAGAGAAAUAGAAGCAAAAUCAGAAGAAAAGGCAGAGGAAGUAAAGGGAGAGGGUGACAGUUCAUACUUGAGCAACCCAGAGAAAUUACGGAUGUGCAGAGGAAGUUCCUGAGAAGAAAGCAAAAAAAGUGUAUCAGUAAGAAUAGCUGUUCCAGAGCUCUUCAGGGAUAUUGAUGGUCCCCUCAUGAAUGCAUUUCUCAGACCCUCAGAGAAGAGAAUGACCAGUAGGACUUCCAAGAAGACUUAUCAAGUGGGUGAGCAGGAAUGUCCUCUGCACAUCAGUAAUUUCACUGGAAAGAAUUAGAGAGAUAGAAGAAGAUAUCCGUCUUUAAAAGAAAAUUGUCACGACUCCUCUGACCCAACGUUACAAAUAUAUGAAUAUCUGAUUUCAGAAUAUCUCACCACAGGCAAAAUAUCCCAUUUUUUAAAUUUCACAUUUUGUCCAGAGUAUAGAAAUAUGUAUGGCAAUGGGAAAGACAAAAGCCCUAUCAAAGGUUGGUGGUGACGUGGGUAAAGAAAGUUGCAGACACUUCAGUAAGAGUUGGGAUAGGUGAAAGGCAGCCCCUUCUUUUGCCACAUGAGACAUGUUUGGUUGUGAGAUGGGGAGAUGGGAAAGAAAAACCCAACAGAAGCCUUGGCCACAGGCCUAUUGUCAGGCAGACUGAUUUCACCAAAAAGUAGAAGUUGAAAACAUGAAAAUAGAUUUUCUUAAAUCUUUUAUUGCCUAAAAAGUUCUUGGAAAGCCAUCAUGAACCCUUAAAGGCAUAUGUACCCAGGUUAGUAGAUGUAGAUGCUCAAAAAAAAUUAAAAGUAGCAAUAAGUUUUAGUGAAUUGAUGCUGUGAAAAAAUAAAAUGACUUUAUGU